rnacentral:tRNA from 1 species
AAGAGAUUAAGUUAAUAAAACUAUUUGCCUUCAAAGCAAAAAUUAUAAUUUUAUAUCUUUUG